UAUAGUCGAAAUAUACGAAAUUAAUCACGUUGAGUCAUACGAUCAAAUCGAACAAAGAUGUCGAAUUCAAACGGAACCCGUUCAUUUUUUAUUAUCAUUUAUUGUAUCACAUUUUGUUCAAGUACGCGGAUUUAUCGUGUCAAGCCUAUCACGAAGAUGGCUGCUCGAUUUACGCUUUCGACCAUGUCGAGCCUAUCGCGAAGAUGGCCGCACGGUUUACGUUUUCGACCAUGACGAGACUAUCACGAAGAUGGCCGCAUGGUUUACACUUUCGACCAUGUCGAGCCUAUCGCAAAGAUGGCUGCACGAUUUUUUUAUACCCAUGUAGAGCCUAUCACGAAAAUGGCCGCAUGGUUUACGUAGUAAUAUGUCCGGUGUUCAAUCAAUCAUUUUGACCAUGUCGAGCCUAUCGCGAAGAUGGUCGUACGGUUAGAGAUUAGCGAUGCAUACGUACGGCGGAAGUGACGACUUGAUGUAAAAUUUGAUCGGUUCAAAACCUAUCACGAAGAUGGUCGGGUUGAUCAAACCAACAAAAAGUCGCACUUCACUAUUCGUAUGUAUGCAUUUCUCUU
rnacentral:lncRNA from 1 species